rnacentral:rRNA from 1 species
ACCGCAUAAGCGCACAGUACCGCAUGGUACGGUGUGAAAAACUCCGGUGGUAUGAGAUGGACCCGCGUCUGAUUAGCUAGUUGGUGGGGUAACGGCCCACCAAGGCGACGAUCAGUAGCCGACCUGAGAGGGUGAUCGGCCACAUUGGGACUGAGACACGGCCCAAACUCCUACGGGAGGCAGCAGUAGGGAAUUUUCGUCAAUGGGGGGAACCCUGAACGAGCAAUGCCGCGUGAGUGAAGAAGGUCUUCGGAUCGUAAAGCUCUGUUGUAAGAGAAAAACGGACUCCAUAGGGAAUGAUGGAGGAGUGAUGGUAUCUUACCAGAAAGCCACGGCUAACUACGUGCCAGCAGCCGCGGUAAUACGUAGGUGGCGAGCGUUAUCCGGAAUCAUUGGGCGUAAAGGGUGCGUAGGUGGCACGAUAAGUCUGUAGUAAAAGGCAGCGGCUCAACCGCUGUUGGCUAUGGAAACUGUCGAGCUGGAGUGCAGAAGAGGGCGAUGGAAUUCCAUGUGUAGCGGUAAAAUGCGUAGAUAUAUGGAGGAACACCAGUGGCGAAGGCGGCCGCCUGGUCUGCAACUGACACUGAAGCACGAAAGCGUGGGGAGCAAAUAGGAUUAGAUACCCUAGUAGUCCACGCCGUAAACGAUGAGAACUAAGUGUUGGGGAAACUCAGUGCUGCAGUUAACGCAAUAAGUUCUCCGCCUGGGGAGUAUGCACGCAAGUGUGAAACUCAAAGGAAUUGACGGGGGCCCGCACAAGCGGUGGAGUAUGUGGUUUAAUUCGAAGCAACGCGAAGAACCUUACCAGGCCUUGACAUGGAGAUAAAGGCCCUGGAGACAGGGAGAUAGAUAUAUCUCACACAGGUGGUGCAUGGUUGUCGUCAGCUCGUGUCGUGAGAUGUUGGGUUAAGUCCCGCAACGAGCGCAACCCUUGUUUCAUGUUACCAAUAUUGAGUUAGGGACUCAUGAGAGACUGCCGGUGACAAACCGGAGGAAGGUGGGGAUGACGUCAAAUCAUCAUGCCCCUUAUGACCUGGGCUACACACGUGCUACAAUGGUUGGUACAA